rnacentral:lncRNA from 1 species
GACCGGAAGACUUCUUUAAUGGUUCCCCAUGUUUAUUAAGUGGUCCAGAAUUUGACUUCUUUAAUGAAGCUGAACCAGACGUGACUCCAGAAGAGACAGGACCUGACGUUGAGUAGCUAGCCCUAGAGGCAGCAUUAGGCAUGAUAGGUCCUGAAUGUGAAGCAGCACCACCAAAAGAUCCAGUCCUUGAAGGAGCAUUAUUUAUAGGUCCAGACUUCCUAGACUUGGAACCGUCAACAGGAAUAUCAAACAUUUUCCCUAGCUCUCCGGAUUUUUUUA